rnacentral:rRNA from 1 species
GACAGAGGGGGCAAGCGUUGCUCGGAAUCACUGGGCGUAAAGGGCUCGUAGGCGGCCAACUAAGUCAGACGUGAAAUCCCUCAGCUUAACUGGGGAACUGCGUCUGAUACUGGAUGGCUUGGAUUUGGGAGAGGGAUGCGGAAUUCCCGGUGUAGAGGUGAAAUUCGUAGAUAUCGGGAGGAACACCAGUGGCGAAGGCGGCGAUCGUGGGAAGAUACUGACGCUGAGGUGCGAAAGCGUGGGGAGCAAACAGG